rnacentral:misc_RNA from 1 species
UUAAGUUCAGCGGGUAUUCCUACCUGAUUUGAGGUCAAGUUCAAAAAGUGCUGUCUCAGUGUGAGAGACGAUUAGAAGCACAAAGCUAUUCAUGCGCACCACUAAUCAGGAGUAGAUAGAUUAUCACACCUGAAGCGGACUUGCAAAGCUGCGCUAAUGCAUUUCAAGGGAGCCAAGACUCAACUGAGGAGCCGGCAAAA